UACGUAGGGUGCAAGCGUUAAUCGGAUUUACUGGGCGUAAAGGGCGCGUAGGCGGCCACCGCAAGUCGACUGUGAAAUCUCCGGGCUUAACUCGGAACGGUCAAGUGAUACUGUCGGACUAGAGUACAGAAGGGGCAACUGGAAUUCUCGGUGUAGCGGUGAAAUGCGUAGAUAUCGAGAGGAACACCUGCGGCGAAGGCGGGUUGCUGGGCUGAUACUGACGCUGAGGCGCGAAAGCCAGGGGAGCGAACGGG
rnacentral:rRNA from 1 species